rnacentral:rRNA from 1 species
GAUAAACGCUAGCGGCAGGCUUAACACAUGCAAGUCGAGGGGCAGCAUAGAUUGUAGCAAUACAAUUGGUGGCGACCGGCGCACGGGUGCGUAACGCGCAUGCAACCUACCCGUCACAGGGGGAUAAUCCGGAGAAAUCUGGUCUAAUACCCCAUAACAUAUGGAUCGGCAUCGGUUCAUGUUGAAAUUUUCGGAGGUGACGGAUGGGCAUGCGUAGCAUUAGCUUGUUGGUGAGGUAACGGCUCACCAAGGCGACGAUGCUUAGGGGGACUGAGAGGUUUUCCCCCCACACUGGUACUGAGACACGGACCAGACUCCUACGGGAGGCAGCAGUGGGGAAUAUUGGUCAAUGGGCGCAAGCCUGAACCAGCCAUGCCGCGUGCAGGAUGACGGCUCUAUGAGUUGUAAACUGCUUUUGUACGAGGGUAAAGUGGGUUACGUGUAACCUUUUGAAAGUAUCGUACGAAUAAGGAUCGGCUAACUCCGUGCCAGCCGCCGCUGUAA